rnacentral:lncRNA from 1 species
UUUUCCUGGAGUCUCCAAAGAUUUUACACCUUUAAAUCCUCAGUUUCUCCUCUCCAAACAGAAGAAGAACCUAUCUCUGGCAAAGUGAUAUAGUCAGGAAGACAAUGAUUAGGAGAUACCCUUUGGUCUCGAGCACCUCUGAAUCCUCAGAUUUUCCUGUCCAAAACAGAGGAAGAACCCAUCUCCGGCCAGCCUUCCUUCAAAUCAGCGAGUAAGAUAUAGAUGAGAACAACAAAUCCGCGGCCGGCCAGUCUUGAAGUUCUGGUUGCACCGAGUAACAUCAAAUCCGCUGACAGAGAACAUGGAACCUGCAGUGAGCCGAUGUCUGAAAGUGGACAGACGGUGGACAUUAACGGUGGCGGGUAUGAGAGUCGCCUGCAAACAUGUAAAUUGGUAAAGUAAUCAACAAACGGAAUUUAAACUAUCUCCAAAAGAAUAAAAUACAUAUUUCGACUGAAAAAAGAAGAAUAAGAUGAUCAUGAGACAGUAUACUGUAGAUAUAAUCUUUAUAGAUAGUAGGAAGUGUGAGGAUGUUGAUCAAGUGAUGAGGCCUAACCUUUUUAUAGGUGAGAAUCACCGCCUAAAUGAAGAUUAGAUGCACUGAAUGCGAGAUCGUGGUUGUAGUGGGCAGGAAGAGUAAAGCUUUAGUUAUUGGCGUUGAAUCAAUUCGAUUUGUAACAGUUGGGAUGAGAAGGAUGAAAACAGACACGAUAUGAACAAUCACCGACUCGAAGUUUGCAGACGAAACGACGAACCCCACACCUUUUUCACAAUCGCCAUUGAUGGCUUACAGAACAAACCUUCACAGCUGACGGCUAACCCUAUCAACCCUAACUUCGCGAGUCAGGAAGAAGAGCGUGCAAUAAACAGGUUUGCAUUCUGUUUGUAAC